rnacentral:rRNA from 1 species
UACAGAGAGUGCAAGCGUUAAUCGGAAUUACUGGGCGUAAAGCGCACGUAGGUGGAAUCUUAAGUCAGAUGUGAAAUCCCCGGGCUUAACUUGGGAAUUGCAUUUGAUACUGGGUUUCUAGAAUAUGGUAGAGGGAAGUGGAAUUUCCGGUGUAGCGGUGAAAUGCGUAGAUAUCGGAAAGAACACCAGUGGCGAAAGCGGCUUCCUGGACCAAUAUUGACACUUAGGUGCGAAAGCGUAGGGAGCAAACAGG